rnacentral:rRNA from 1 species
UGCCAGCCGCCGCGGUAACACGGGGGGCGCAAGCGUUAUUCGGAUUUAUUGGGCGUAAAGCGCGCGCAGGCGGAAUAUCAAGUCAGGUGUGAAAUCUCGGGGCCUAACCCCGAAACUGCGCCUGAAACUGGUAAUCUAGAAUGUCAUAGGGGGUAGGGGAAUUUCACGUGUAGGGGUAAAAUCCGUAGAGAUGUGAAGGAACACCUGAGGCGAAGGCGCCUACCUGGAUGACUAUUGACGCUGAGGCGCGAAAGCGUGGGGAGCAAACAGGAUUAGAUA